GAUGAACGCUAGCGGCAGGCUUAACACAUGCAAGUCGAACGGAGAUGCAUUGAAUGAAGAUUUCGGUUGGAUUUCGAUACAUCUUAGUGGCGGACGGGUGAGUAACGCGUGAGUAACCUGCCGAUGAGAGUGGAAUAACGUUCUGAAAAGGACGCUAAUACCGCAUAAUGUAGAGCGGCCGCAUGACCAUUCUACCAAAGAUUUUAUCGCUCAUCGAUGGACUCGCGUCCGAUUAGCUAGUUGGUGGGGUAACGGCCCACCAAGGCGACGAUCGGUAGCCGGACUGAGAGGUUGAACGGCCACAUUGGGACUGAGACACGGCCCAGACUCC
rnacentral:rRNA from 1 species